AAGGAGGGUGCGAGCGUUGUUCGGAAUUAUUGGGCGUAAAGCGCGUGUAGGCGGUCUUUUAAGUCUGAUGUGAAAGCCCUGGGCUCAACCCAGGAAGUGCAUUGGAAACUGGGAGACUCGAAUACGGUAGAGGGAAGUGGAAUUCCUAGUUGAGGAGUGAUAGCCGUAGAUAUUAGGGAGAUCACCGGUGGCGAAGGCGGCUACCUUGGCUAAUACUGAUGCUUAGACGCGAAAGCGAGGGGAGUAAACAG
rnacentral:rRNA from 1 species